AUUGAACGCUGGCGGCAGGCCUAACACAUGCAAGUCGAGCGAGCGGCGGACGGGUGAGUAAUGUAUGGGGACUGCCCGAUAGAGGGGGAUAACUACUGGAAACGGUGGCUAAUACCGCAUACUAUCGGAUAACCCAUAUGGGAUUAGCUAGUAGGUGGGGUAAAGGCUCACCUAGGCGACGAUCUCUAGCUGGUCUGAGAGGAUGAUCAGCCACACGGGAACUGAGAAAAGGCCCAGACGCCUACGGAGGCCGCAGGGGGGAAUAUUGCACAAUGGGCGCAGGCCUGAUGCAGCCAUGCCGCGUGUAUGAAGAAGGCAUUCGGGUUGUAAAGUACUUUCAGCGAGGAGGCGUUACUCGCAGAAGAAGCACCGGCAAACUCCGUGCCAGCAGCCGCGGUAAUUC
rnacentral:rRNA from 1 species